rnacentral:siRNA from 1 species
AACGGCGUGCCUCGGCAUC